GAUGAACGCUGGCGGCGUGCUUAACACAUGCAAGUCGAACGAUUAAAGCCCCUUCGGGGGUGUAUAGAGUGGCGAACGGGUGAGUAACACGUGGGCAAUCUGCCCCUCACUUCGGGAUAACUCAGGGAAACUUGAGCUAAUACCGGAUACUCCGAACUGAUCGCAUGGUCGGUCCGGGAAAGCUCCGACGGUGAGGGAUGAGCCCGCGGCCCAUUAGCUAUUUGGUAGGGUAAUGGCCUACCAAGGCGACGAUGGGUAGCCGCGCUGAGAGGCGGAUCGGCCACACUGGGACUGAGACACGGACCAGACUCCUACGGGAGGCAGCAGUGGGGAAUUUUGCGCAAUGGGCGAAAGCCUGACGCAGCAACGCCGCGUGCGGGAUGAAGGCUCUCGGGUCGUAAACCGCUUUCAGCAGGGAUGAAAUUGACAGUACCUGCAGAAGAAGCCCCGGCUAAAUACGUGCCAGCCGCCGCGGUAAUAC
rnacentral:rRNA from 1 species